AGGGAAUCUUCCGCAAUGGACGAAAGUCUGACGGAGCAACGCCGCGUGAGUGAUGAAGGUUUUCGGAUCGUAAAACUCUGUUGUCAGGGAAGAACAAGUACCGGAGUAACUGCCGGUACCUUGACGGUACCUGACCAGAAAGCCACGGCUAACUACGUGCCAGCAGCCGCGGUAAUACGUAGGUGGCAAGCGUUGUCCGGAAUUAUUGGGCGUAAAGCGCGCGCAGGCGGUUCCUUAAGUCUGAUGUGAAAGCCCCCGGCUCAACCGGGGAGGGUCAUUGGAAACUGGGGAACUUGAGUGCAGAAGAGAAGAGUGGAAUUCCACGUGUAGCGGUGAAAUGCGUAGAGAUGUGGAGGAACACCAGUGGCGAAGGCGACUCUUUGGUCUGUAACUGACGCUGAGGCGCGAAAGCGUGGGGAGCAAAC
rnacentral:rRNA from 1 species